GGGACAUAUACGAAGACUGGGUCAGCAUGUGCCAUUUGACCUGCGGCAUCGAUAUAGGCUGACCCAGGAUUCAGACGAAGAGGCAUCUGAUAAUGUUUUAAUUGUUGGGUACCGGUCAGUUGUCGGGUUAAUAUGGGGCUACGAGGAGGGGCGUCAGUUAAAGGUUCCGGUCGAGAGGUAAUAGGGCAUGAGGAUGUGGGAACUUGAUUUUGGGAAAAGUUACUGAAUAGUAUACUC